rnacentral:sRNA from 12 species
UGGCGUUGAAGUAAUGGACCGGUUCGGCAUCAGCCUGUUAUGGAGCCAAACCGUGGGUUAAGCGAAAACCACAAGCCGAAUAGAUUCGAUGAAUCGAAAGAAAACGCAAAAU